UCCCUGGCGGUCCAGUGGUUAGGACUCAGUGCUCUUGCUGCUGGGGGCCCAGGUUCAAUCCCUGGUCUGGGAA